CGGUUCUGCAUGCCAGGUGGAUGCGGUGUCCCAAGCUUUGGCGCCGGAAAACACAACUUUUUUUUUGGCGUGAUGAGGUGCAAACUCUUGGACGUUUGAUGCUUUGCUUUCCCCUUCCUUCCUUCUCCCUCUCGAUUGCAUAUAGUUAUGCUCGUAUAUGUCGCCGGCUCGCCGCAGGCAAUACGCACGCGGCGUGGUUGCAGCACUGUCAGUGACCAAGGACAAGGAGGGACAAGGAAAACAAAAGAAAAAGGUGUGAACUGGAGCAUCAUCCGAUUCCGAUCUCUGCCAAGCAAGGAAGCGUGCUUUUGCCGGACGUUUUGAACGCACGAACGGCAAUGGCAGUUAUCCCAGACUCUUCCAAAAACGAGACGAAACCGUUGACCAAAAAAAAGAAGAAAAGAAACGUGCAGCUAGCUCGCGGUCGCAGUAGCUUCCGCGUGGCACGCGUAACGGAAUUUACCGACCCCGUCGUCUCCGUCCUCCGUCGCGGUCGUCGUCGGGUCACCGGGUCCGGCGCGGCCGGCGGCGAGCUCGAGCUGCGCCCAGAGCGCCUUGACCUCGGCCUCCUUGCGCUCCAUGCGCGCGCGCCACCCGUCGCGCAGCCGCUCGUCCCUCCGCCGCGCGUACGCCUCGUACUUCCUGCCCCGCACGUCGCCGCCGCCGCCUCCCGCCUCGUCAUCAUCACCCGCCUCCUCCGCGCCGUCCCCGGCGUCGUGGCGCUCGCGUGCGGUGGCGGUGGCCCCGGUGGUCGUCCGCUCCGCCAGGCGCUGCUUGUACCCCGCGAACUGGCGCUCCAGCUCGGCGGCCAUCGCCCAGAGGUCAGCCGCGCCGGGGCCCGAGCCGCACGGCAUGGUCGGUCAACCCGCCGUCGUACCGUACGCCGUAUAGCCAGGCGGGCUCCGGUUUGUCCCGUCCCGUCGAUCGGCCGGCCACCUCCUGCGCGUCGCGCCGCGCGGCGCACGCGUGGGACG
rnacentral:misc_RNA from 1 species